CACGUAGGGCGCAAGCGUUGUCCGGAAUUAUUGGGCGUAAAGCGCGCGCAGGUGGUUCCUUAAGUCUGAUGUGAAAGCCCACGGCUCAACCGUGGAGGGUCAUUGGAAACUGGGGAACUUGAGUGCAGAAGAGGAAAGUGGAAUUCCAAGUGUAGCGGUGAAAUGCGUAGAGAUUUGGAGGAACACCAGUGGCGAAGGCGACUUUCUGGUCUGUAACUGACACUGAGGCGCGAAAGCGUGGGGAGCAAACAGG
rnacentral:rRNA from 1 species